rnacentral:rRNA from 1 species
GUGAGGAAUAUUGGACAAUGGCCGGAAGGCUGAUCCAGCCAUGCCGCGUGAAGGAUUAAGGUCCUAUGGAUUGUAAACUUCUUUUGAGUGGGAGCAAUAAGGGUGUCGAGACACCCGAUGAGAGUACCAUUUGAAUAAGCAUCGGCUAACUCCGUGCCAGCAGCCGCGGUAAUACGGAGGAUGCGAGCGUUAUCCGGAUUUAUUGGGUUUAAAGGGUGCGUAGGCGGUUUGUCAAGUCAGCGGUGAAACGCAAGGGCUUAACCCUUGACCUGCCGUUGAAACUGAUUGACUAGAAUGCGGAUGCUGUGGGAGGAAUGUGUGGUGUAGCGGUGAAAUGCAUAGAUAUCACACAGAACACCGAUUGCGAAGGCAUCUCACAAAUCCGUGAUUGACGCUGAGGCACGAAAGUGUGGGGAUCAAACAGG